AACGCACAUUGCGCCCGCCAGCAUUCUGGCGGGCAUGCCUGUUCGAGCGUCAUUUCAACCCUCGAGCCCCCCCGGGGGCCUCGGUGUUGGGGGACGGCACACCAGCCGCCCCCGAAAUGCAGUGGCGACCCCACCGCAGCCUCCCCUGCGUAGUAGCACACACCUCGCACCGGAGCGCGGAGGCGGUCACGCCGUAAAACGCCCAACCUUCUUAGAGUUGACCUCGGAUCAGGUAGGAAUACCCGCUGAACUUAA
rnacentral:misc_RNA from 1 species